rnacentral:rRNA from 1 species
ACGGGAGGCAGCAGUGGGGAAUAUUGCACAAUGGGCGAAAGCCCGAUGCAGCGACGCCGCGUGAGUGAAGAAGUAUCUCGGUAUGUAAAGCUCUAUCAGCAGGGAAGAAAAUGACGGUACCUGACUAAGAAGCCCCGGCUAACUACGUGCCAGCAGCCGCGGUAAUACGUAGGGGGCAAGCGUUAUCCGGAUUUACUGGGUGUAAAGGGAGCGUAGACGGCAUGGCAAGUCUGAUGUGAAAACCCGGGGCUCAACCCCGGGACUGCAUUGGAAACUGUCAAGCUAGAGUGCAGGAGAGGUGAGUGGAAUUCCUAGUGUAGCGGUGAAAUGCGUAGAUAUUAGGAGGAACACCAGAGGCGAAGGCGGCUUACUGGACUGUAACUGACGUUGAGGCUCGAAAGCGUGGGGAGCAAACAGGAUUAGAUACCCUGGUA